rnacentral:rRNA from 1 species
CCUACGGGUGGCAGCAGUGGGGAAUAUUGGGCAAUGGACGCAAGUCUGACCCAGCAACGCCGCGUGAAGGAAGAAGGCUUUCGGGUUGUAAACUUCUUUUAUGGGGGAAGAGCAGUAGACGGUACUCCUUGCAUCAGCCACGUCUAACUACGUGCCAGCAGCCGCGUUAAUACGUAGGUGGCAAGCGUUAUCCGGAUUUAUUGGGUUUAAAGGGUGCGUAGGCGGUCCGUUAAGUCAGCGGUAAAAUUGCGGGGCUCAACCCCGUCGAGCCGUUGAAACUGGCAGACUUGAGUGGGCGAGAAGUACGCGGAAUGCGCGGUGUAGCGGUGAAAUGCAUAGAUAUCGCGCAGAACUCCGAUUGCGAAGGCAGCGUACCGGGGCGAGACUGACGCUGAGGCACGAAAGCGUGGGGAUCGAACAGGAUUAGAUACCCCAGUAGUC